rnacentral:rRNA from 1 species
UGGGGAAUUUUGGACAAUGGGCGCAAGCCUGAUCCAGCAAUGCCGCGUGCAGGAUGAAGGCCUUCGGGUUGUAAACUGCUUUUGUACGGAACGAAAAAGCUCUCUCUAAUACAGGGGGUGAAUGACGGUACCGUAAGAAUAAGCACCGGCUGACUACGUGCCAGAAGCCGCGGUAAUACGUAGGGUGCAAGCGUUAAUCGGAAUUACUGGGCGUAAAGCGUGCGCAGGCGGUUUUGUAAGACAGAGGUGAAAUCCCCGGGCUCAACCUGUUAACUGCCUUUGUGACUGCAAGGCUGGAGUGCGGCAGAGGGGGAUGGAAUUCCGCGUGUAGCAGUGAAAUGCGUAGAUAUGCGGAGGAACACCGAUGGCGAAGGCAAUCCCCUGGGCCUGCACUGACGCUCAUGCACGAAAGCGUGGGGAGCAAACA